UGAGUACGAGAUGCUACGGCAUCGAAGCAGUCUAUGUCAUACUUCCAAGAAAAGCUUGCACUGUCAGAAACAGAUAAUGCCUGUACCAUAACCGACACAGGUGGGUAGGUAGAGUAUACUAAGGGGCGCGAGAUAACUCUCUCUAAGGAACUCGGCAAAAUGACUCCGUAACUUCGGGAGAAGGAGUGCCUUAUUUUUAAGGUUGCAAUAACAAGAUCCAAGCAACUGUUUACCAAAAACACAGGUCUCCGCUAAGUCGUAAGACGAUGUAUGGGGGCUGACGCCUGCCCAGUGCCAGAAGGUUAAAGAAGUCGGUUAGCAUUCGCGAAGCUGGUAACUGAAGCCCUGGUGAACGGCGGCCGUAACAAUAACGGUCCCAAGGUAGCGAAAUUCCUUGUCGGGUAAGUUCCGACCCGCACGAAAGGCGUAAUGAUUUGGAUACUGUCUCGGAGAGGGGCUCGGUGAAAUAGACUUGUCUGUGAAGAUGCGGACUACCUGCACCUGGACAGAAAGACCCUAUGAAGCUUUACUGUAACUUGAAAUUGAAAUUGGACUUUAUUUGCGCAGUAUAGGUGGGAGGCGUUGAAAAUAUUCUUGCGGGAAUAUUGGAGCCAUCAGUGAGAUACCACUCUUGUAAUGUUAGAUUUCUAACUUUAUAUCAUUAUCUGGUUAAAGAACAGUUUCAGGCGGGCAGUUUGACUGGGGCGGUCGCCUCCCAAAUGGUAACGGAGGCGCACAAAGGUUUCCUCUGAACGGGUAGAAAUCGUAUCUAGAGUGUAAAGGCAUAAGGAAGCUUGACUGUGAGACCUACAAGUCGAGCAGGGACGAAAGUCGGUCUUAGUGAUCUGACGGUGCUGAGUGGAAAGGCCGUCACUCAACGGAUAAAAGUUACUCUAGGAUAACAGGCUGAUCUCCCCCAAGAGUUCACAUCGACGGGGAGGUUUGGCACCUCGAUGUCGGCUCAUCGCAUCCUGGGGCGGUAGUACGUCCCAAGGGUUGGGCUGUUCGCCCAUGAAAGCGGUACGCGAGCUGGGUUCAGAACGUCGUGAGACAGUUCGGUCCAUAUCCGGUGUAGGCGUUAGAAUAUUGAGAGGAGCCUUCUUUAGUACGAGAGGACCGAGAAGGACAUACCUCUGGUGUACCAGUUAUCGUGCCAACGGUAAACGCUGGGUAGCUAUGUAUGGAGUGGAUAACCGCUGAAAGCAUCUAAGUGGGAAGCCCACCUCAAGAUAAGUAUUCUC
rnacentral:rRNA from 1 species